AUAUGGAGGGUGCAAGCGUUAAUCGGAAUUACUGGGCGUAAAGCGCGCGUAGGCGGAUUGUUAAGUCUCAUGUGAAAGCCCUGGGCUCAACCUGGGAACUGCAUGGGAUACUGGCAAUCUAGAAUACAGUAGAGGGUAGUGGAAUUUCAGGUGUAGCGGUGAAAUGCGUAGAGAUCUGAAGGAACAUCAGUGGCGAAGGCGACUACCUGGACUGAUAUUGACGCUGAGGUGCGAAAGCGUGGGGAGCAAACGGGAUUAGAUACCCCUGUAGUCC
rnacentral:rRNA from 1 species